CGAGGCCUGCAGGAACGCGUGGGAACGGAGUUCCUGCACUUUUUUUUGAGCAUGGACGCCGUUCCCGUUUGUGGUCCUGCAGGCACUCAGGGGGCGGCAAAAAAUGCCGCCUCCAAAUGCCCCCGUGCUCCCCUUGUCAUGGGGGGGCCCAAGAAGUGGCCUGAUGAGUGUGUAUGUGUGUGUGUGUCUGUUAGUGUAUGUGUGUGUUUAUCUGUG